GAGAUUUCUAAAUAGUAAUAGCUGGGCUUUCACUAAUGCCAGAAAUUUGGCAGUUAUGCUUCUGGUAAGAAAAUCGGUUUUCCCAGUAAUAAAUAUGCGUAUGAAAUACUGUCACUGUUUUUGUACACCUAUAUGUACACACAUGUAUGUUAUGCACAGGAAUACUGUACACAUGUACUUGCCUUUACUUUAGAAAAUCACACAGUGAUGUCUUUUGAUGAAUCUGAAACUGAAUUGUGUUCGCUUCUUUUUCUUUUUAGAAGUGGGAACAAUAUUAGUGACUAAAAAAUAUUUUGGAGAGAGCAUGCAUUUCUCCCCCUGAAUCUCCAAAUAGGACAAAACAUGUUAAAAAAAAAAAAAAAAAGUCAAAAUAUGUCAGGGUGAUGUGUUUGCCUGGUAUAAGAUGAAUUUUAACUUCUUCACAGAAGCUGUGAGUUUGAUUCUUCCAGGUUGCCUGGAGAGUUACCCCGAGGCAGCCAGAGACAUGCUUCCUUUUUCCAGGACUCCCACAUGAUCCAUGGGAUGCGGUGCUAUGCCAGCUCCCGGGGCACAGCACAAGUGAGGGAUUCUGCUCUGGACCCCUGUGUGGCAGAGUGAUGCUCUGACAUGGGUUUUAAUGGUGUUAUCCUCAGAUGAAUUCAGCUGAGGCAAGCUCAGGAGCUAACAAGCACAAGUAAAUCUCCCAGUGAAUGACCUGGUAGUUUGCAUGUGUGUGUACGUGUGUCCUUCUUUACUAUUUAAUCUUAUUUCAGGAGUGGCCACUGUCUUGUGCUGUCGUGGCUUUGUUUCAUAAUCUCCUCACGGAUGCAUGCCAGCUGCUGGAUACUCAGGAGAAGACAGUCACUUGGGCACUUUCCCGUAAGCCAUGUCCCCAAGUAAGUUCUCACAGCGAGAAAAGAAAUUCAGGACAACAAAAGAUAUCGUUGAAAAGGUUCUUUUAGACUAAAAAUUUGGUGGAGAUUAAAAUAGGGCAAAAGUUCAAAGGAGAACGAGCCACUGCCAAGCAAGCAAGAAUCUUGGCAAAAAGGAAGGAAAAGAAACAUUGGUUUAAAAGGCAAGUAACCAUGGCAAGGCAACAGCUCAAUGCUAGAAUCUGGUUAAGAAGUAAUAUCACACAGAGCUGUGAUUGUUUAUUCAAGGCUAGCCCAUGAGAGAACAGUUGUCUCCAAUGAGUGUUCUCACAGCUUGGAUCCAAAAUUAUAACUGCAUUUUUUAAGGCAUCCAGCACUUCUUCACAACCCAUUUGCUGUUAGACAAAAGAAAUAGAAAAUACGUUUAUUCUUAGUGUCCCUUGUGUGUUUAAGGCACAGCUUUACAUAUGGAAAGGCAUUUUGUGUCAGCUGUUGGACCGGUAUCAUGCUAUUCUGCAGCAGUUGCCAAUGGAAACUGUUGAUACAUUUUCGGUACCUUUUCCAAGUAUCAGAAACUGGGAGCAGUGUAUGGUUUAGGGACAUCUUGUUUGCAAAGGGUUUUGAAGGGUGAGAGGUUUUGCAUAUCUGAGUUGCAUUACUGCAGUUGCAACACAAAGCACAUAAUAGACUGUAGCAGCUAACAGUUGUGGAAUUAAGUUUAGGCAUGAAACAAAAAUAAUGGCAGCUUUGGUACAAGUAAUCAUUUACUAAAGAUGUAUUUUGGCUAUUGGCAAACUCACAGCAUAUGUGCACAUCCAUACACCUGCUUAAGUUGUGCACCUGUUGUCCUACAAAUAAAUCAAAAGGGAAAAAUUGAAGCUUCCAAUAUUCCACUAUAAAUAAAAGAUGAUUAAUGUCAUUAUAGGGACAAACAGGUAUUGGCAGCACACAGAAAGAAUGGAAGAUUGUCAUCUCAUUUGUGCUUUUGUUUCCACAUCUAGAUGAGCUUGGAAUACAUAUACAGUGCUAGAGGGCACAGCUGCAGCCUAACAGAUGAUAGAGAGCAGGUCAAAAUCAUCUCUCAUCGUAAGUCAAAAGGAGCUCAACCACUGCAGGGCUUUUCAUGGAAAUGAGCAGAACUUUUUCCAAAAACUGGAUGAAUUCAUCCCUUAUGCCAUUUUAUUGCUCAGAUAAUCUUCAGCUAAACUAAGACACCAUGGUCUGUAUGAAGUUUGCGUGGAGAGCAGAUAGGUAGGUCUUAGCACUCUGGGGAACUAUACUGACUUCUCAGUUAUUCUUUGGAGAUCUACAGUUCUCUUUUUUUUUUUUUUGGAAUGAGCGUGCAUGUCCUUAAAAAAAAUCUUUCAGGCUAAGAUCAAAUUCACCACAUUUCAUAGAGUCAUAGAACCAUUAAGGUUGGAAAGAUCACUAAGGUCAUCUAGUACAACCAUCAGCCCAUGCCUGUGACCCUUCUAGAUCACGUCACUCAGUGUGACAUCUACCCUUUUCUUGAAAACCUCCCGGGAUGGUGACUCUACCACCUCCCUGGGAAGUCUGUUCCAAUAUCUCACCAUGCUUCUGAGAAGAAAUCUUUCCAAACAUCCAACCUGAACCACCCUGGCACAACUUGAGGCCAUUACCUCUUGUCCUAUCAUUAGUUACUUGGGAAAAGAGCCCAGUGUCCACUUCACUACAACCUCCUUUCAGGUAGUUUUAGUGAGAUGAGUUCUCCCCUGAGCCUCCUCUUCUGCACUUUGUAGAACCAUGUACAUGUGCAAUGGGCAGCUUUGAAAGCUGCUGGAGUCUUCGGUGUUUUCAAGUCAGUAGGGCACAUGACAAUCACUGUGUAAACAACUUCAGUGUUCCCUAUUUACUCACAACCUAAUUAGAAUCUAGAUAAUAGAAGGAUGAUAUCUUUGACCUUUCCUAUAUCAGAACUGGCUAUACUGGCUGCCAAGGUGAUUAAAGGUAAAGCUAUAACAUUUCCUUUUUGCCUCUCCUUCCAACAAAUGCAUGUCUUUGCCCCCAUUACAGCAGCUAGCUAUCUGCCAAAUUGCCUUACUGGGGAUCAGGCUCUCCAGAAUGCUGAGAACGGCAGUCAAGAAAAUCAGCUUUAUAUCAGUGUCACUCCUUAUUUUAUGGGGCAAGUCUGGUGUUCUGAGGUACAAUUUAUUUCAGUGUGUUCCAUAAAUACUAGGGAAUCUGAAGAGUGUUUUCUCCCACUUUUGAGUAGAUGUGACAUACAUUAGGGAGAGACAGCUCCGCUGCUGAGAGAUAGAUGGUUCUGUGCCUAAUAUGACUUCAUUUUGUCUAUACCUUUACAUUUCCAAAGAGUAUAUCUCCAAGUCCCCAGAUGCCACUCUAUCAUGCCAAACUGCUACAGCGCUUUACAGAGAUGUGCACAGUCUUCUCUUCCAUUUGUUUCCCAUCUAAGAUGAAAUCACUCUGAACAGGAAUCCUCCUUCAGACUUUUCAUGUUGAGAAAUCGUAACCUUGCCUUUUAAUGCUCUGGAUCCCACACACAUUGUGGCAAUCUCUUACUGUCAAACCCUGUCUUUGCAUCCCUGGCCCAUCAGUGGAGCCGCAUGGAAGAAGAGUAUUUGGCACAUUGCUUUUAGUGAUAGUUUGCUCUUCAGAAGCACAGAGGAUUCACAUUAAUUUUUAUUAUUAGAUAUUCAGUCAGGAGUGCAGAGAACAAAUGGGCCACAUCUCACAGAACCCUAGAAUGGUUUAGGUUGGAAGGAAGCUUAAAGACAACUUUCUUGACAACUUUUCCCAUCACCACCAGCAUUAGAAAAUCACAGUACUUGAUGCUUAUGUGAGCAAAUAUUGCUUUCAUUUGAAUUAUUUUAUUUAAAAUUCUAACUCAUCCCAUUCGCUCUUUCUUCUGGGCAUGAGCAGAUGGAGAACUGGGAAUUAAAAGAGAGAAUUUCCUGGCAUUAUGUUCCAUUGACAGUAAUACUUCAGCAAGGAAGGACUGUGUUGUACUGCUGGCUAAAACAUGUCAAGUCACUUGAUAGCAAGAUCAUAUAAUUUGGUCCUCAAGCAUAAGAAGAUGAAGUGUCCUCACUGGAAGGGUCUGAAAAUUGGACUCCUCAGAUACUUCAGUUCCUCAACUUCAACAAAUCUUCUCCAGACAUGAACAAACACACAGAGAUUUUUAUUUUAAAAGUAUGUAAUUUGUCACAUAUGGGAAAAUGUCCACAAAAAAAUGACAAACAAGCCACACAGUAGCAUUCUGAAAGCAGAUGUCUAGUUCCAGGUAGCAGAAUGUUAAAGAACCUUAAUGCAGGUUCUAGGAUGUCUUUCUUUUUCCUAAACAAAUAAUUUUCCUUGAUUCUGGUCUCAAUUUCUAGAAAUAGCGAAAUAUUGUAGUUGAAAUUUUCCCAUAUGCUUAGGUUUGGAUGGUGAGAGGAAAAGAAAAACCUUCUGUUCAACAAUUAAGUCCAAACAGUUAAAUUUUGGUAAAGUUAUGAACAAAAGGAAGUAAGGUGUGGCAGUAGAAACUGCAGCUGGUGUGCCCUCUAAAGCAGAGUUAUCCACUGCACAGGAUGGAUAUCUAUAUCUGUGGUAUGGUCUGCAGAAUAGCCUGUCUAAUAGAGAUGUUGGAGGCUGCAGGGGAAGGUGCUGGCUGCUGCUUUAUGAGAAAAAACACAGCCAAGAGUCAGAGUUUGGGUGUGGGCAAUACGAUAUCACAAAAAGUGAAUUAGAUGCUUCCUCUGAGCCUUGGAUGAACUAAUGAAUCUGAGGUGACAUAAGAAGCAGAGCCUUGGCAGAGUGUCCAUAGGCAUCUUGAUGUUCAGCCCUGCCCUAGACAAUGAGUAAACCUUUCUUUGCAAUGAGUAGGAUUUUUGCAUGAGCAUUAGAAUUUCUCCACCUGAGUAAAUUCAGAAAGGUUGAAAGUGUGAACCAACUGGGAGAAGCUACAGUAUUGCCUGUGUUAAGCUAGAUUACCAUGGCAGAAUCCCACAUGAGAGUGUCAAUUUUCUCCUGCUAUACAGUAUGCUGCCCCAAUACUAUGUGCUUCCUUAUAUCUGUCUCUGAAAAGGGUGCUGUUAGAUAACACAAAUCUGCCAAUUUUUUCAUGCUUAGAUCAGUGGUAGACUGAAGACAAGGAUUACUAGAUGAUCUUUGAGGUUCCUUCCAACCCAGGCCAUUCUUUGAUUACGACAUAGACGAAUGUCUCGUCAGGGUCAUGAACAAACCCACAUAUAUUAUUUUUUUUUUUUAGAGUUCUUGUACUUGCUGUUUUAUCACUCAGUGUAAGCAGCUAGCAGGCUCUUAUUUUGUUUUUGAAAAAUGCAACCUUUUAGAUGAUGCAAACAGCGUUAGGAACUUGACAUAGCUGUGGGAUAAAAUCUUUAAAACAGAAUGUCUAUGCUUUGUGCAAAUGCAAACAAAUUCCCAUAGUUGGGCAGGGACAAAGAACAAAGGAAGUGCUAGUAUGGAAACACUGCUCCAGGACAAUUGCCAGGGAAGCUUACACGGACUGGCUGGAGUCUACGUAGAGCUGAGAGAGGAUAAAACAUGAUGGUACAUGACAGCACGUUGUACAGAAUGUCCAAGAGAAAAACAAAUGAGCAAAGACAAAAGUGAAAAGAGAAGCUGGAAUAAAAGAGAACUGUCGGAGAAAGGAGCAGCAGGCAGCAGCAAGGUGGCAGAGGCACAGCACUUAAUCAAAAAUAAAGAGACGAAAGUGUCCAGGAGGGAAAUAUUUUAGCACUGUAGCAGAAUAAGCUUGCAGCCAAACUCUGUUUACUUCCUUGGCCAGAAAUAGGCCCUCAUGCUUUACACAACAAACAAAGCUCUGGUAGCACCUCUUAUGUCAGCUCACCCAGCUUUCUCCAUGUAACCAUCCCUUUUUUAUGUACCACGGGAUAAAAUUCCAGGCUGGGGACGUAACUUGAGACAUUUCUUGGUACUCUUCAAAAGUUUAACCUCCACUUUUUUUCUUUUUUUUCCUGUAGUGGCAGAGAGAUUGCUCAUGUCACCAGUCGGAGCUCAGGCUCACAGUCCUGAGCUGAAGCUGUAGGUUAAAUCCACAUCAAGUGUUCAUACUGUCAUAACAGCACUGGUGGGCAUUAAAAGUUGUUUACUUCUUUCUUUCUAAGAAAGUUUUGGUGAGUAAGGUCUAGAAACAAGAAUGAGAUGUAGGGGUGAGGGAGGAGAUGUAGCAGGGGAUGGUCAGAAGAAACAACUUAUUUCAUACAGAUGUGCUGUGCACAUCAUGACUCAUCAGGAAGUGAAUUUGCAUCGGAAACUGAAGAGCAAAGGAAAAGUCAUGGCAGGUUUUCAUUUGGAUUCACAGUGACUUUUCUUAGUCUUUUUGGUCUUGGCUUCCUGCAGUGAUGGGACUGGUCAAGGCACUUUUAAUUAAGUAACCGUUCCAGCUAAAGCUGUUAGUAAUAAGCAAGCUGUCUGGCUUACGUGAGUGGGGAUCAGUCAGCCGGUUCACCAGUUCAGAUGUGCUCAGCUCCGGAUGGUAGCAGUUGUUCCAAUCAGAUGUUGCAGUGGUGGCGUCUACAAGCUUGGAAAUCUUGGCGUAGUUUUCCUUGGCCAUGGGUCCAUGCCAUAAGAAAGAAGGACAAGUCCUCAUUAAGGAUUUUCCUUGGAAGUCUCUGCAGAGACCAGGAAAGCAUAGAUAUAAAGGAGAAAACUUAGGUACUUCAGCAGGGAAUUGGGGUUACUUCAGGCACUCCUAUAGAUAUUCCAAAUAGGGCUGUCUCUAUCCUUCUUUGAAUCAUGAGUGUCAAAGUCCAGGUGACAUGCUCUGGUUGCUUGUUUAAAGGGACAAGGCUGCACAUGAGUAGUCUGUUAGUGCUUCUCAGCACAGCAACUAGUCCACUGUGUAACUGGAUACAUGACUACAUCCCUAGUCCUGCUGGUAACAAUCUUUCUGAUACAAGUCAGGAUGUCAUUAUUUCUGAUAGAAGCCAGGAUGCCAGUGGCCUUCUUGGCUACCUUGGCACACUGCUUGCUCAUGUUCAGACAAAUGCUGACCAAUACCCCCAGGUCCAUUUCCUCCACAGUCUUCCAGACACUCUGCCCGAAACCUGUAGCACUGCCUAGGGUUGUUGUGACCAAAGUGCAGGACUUGUCACUUGGUCUUCUUGAACUUCAUCCCAUUGGCCUCAACCGAGUGAUCCAUCCUGUCCAGAUCCCUCUGAAGGGCCUUUUUACCCUCAGGAAGAUUAAGGCUUUCUCCCAACUUGAUGUCAUCUGUAAACUUACUGAAGGUGCCCCUUGUCCAGGUGAUUAAUGAAAAUAGUAAAUAGGACAGGCCCCAGUACCAACCCCUGGACAACACCACUCAUGACCGGUUGCCAGCUAGAUUUAACCCCACUUACCACCACGCUCUGGGCUUGUCCUUCAGCCAGUUUUUUGCCCAGAAAGUAAAGAAUGUACCUGUCAAAGCCAUGGACUGCCAGCUUCUCCAGGAGAAUACUGUGGGAGACAGUGUCAAAGCCUUUGUUGAAGUCCAGGUAAACUAUGUCAACGGUACCCACAUCCUAAAUCAUUCUGGUCUAGUUCUCUCUCCCUCACACAAUAAACAGAUUGAUAGAUCGAGAUUUAAUUAAAAAUGAUCAGCUACUGCAAGGACAAGCUUUUUUUUUUCCCACUUUUUUUUCCCCUAGGCACUCAGUUUACAUGUUUACUGUGCUAAAAACAGUUACGAGCAAUCUGGAUAGCCCUCUGUUAGCUGUGAUGAAAACAUUCUUCAGCAUCUCUGAUGGUGCCUGCCACUGACGAGCCUGAGAAACAGUGUAGUUAAAUGGAGAAUGCGCCUGGCUUUCUAAAAAUUGUAUGGUGAAGACCUGAUGCUGUCUUGCUCCUGGGGUCAGUGCUGGUGGAUCACCCCUGGCAGGGACUCUGGCUGACAUUUGUGUCCCUUUGGGGAUUCCCAUGGACACCACCACAGUGUGCCCAAUUUCGCACGGCCACACCACAUGCCUCUCAAAGAUCUGGUGAGAGACACAGAUGUGGCUGGCCCAAAGCUUCCCACUGGGGCUUGAUGCCCCUGCGGGGCGACUGCCACAUGCAGCAGGGGGAAUGGCAUACAUAAAGCUUUACAACGCCUGGCCUUCAGUGAGCCUGGGCAAACAAAAACAAGCCUGCAUCCAGCACAGUGCUGCAGCCACAGCUAGUUCCCCUCAGAUCAUGCCACCCUUCAGGACACAUCAAUGCCCCUUACUCCAGCAGCAGCAGCUAUGAAAGCCCUCUUCCUGGCUCUCCGCUGCCCAUUCCCUGCUGCUGCUCCCUCUCUGCCAUUCACUGCCCUCCCUCUCUUGCCGGCCAGGAGCCACAGGUCAGCCUACAAAAAUCCUCAGAGGCCAAAGGGGGCUGCUCCAGUAGGGCUGACAACAGAGAGGAUGUCGAUCUCUCCUAUCCAGUAAGAAAGCAGCCAUGCAUCCCCCGCUUGCUGCUCUGCAAGUCCUGGUUUGUUCUUUUAGUGGUGUAAAAACUGUCCUUCCUUUCCAUCUCACACACAGUAUGAACAUAGACACGAACAGAAACCUUUAGUUAAUCUCAUUGUUAGGACCCUUUUUUUCUUUCAGGUGUUAGUGAGCUGUAGCGAAUCAGAAGAUCCCCAAAGCAAAGCUGCCUCAUUACCAAUUUUGAAAAUGCCCCUGUCCAUCAUUAUCAAAUAUCCUAAAUACCCGUGUUCAGCAACAUUCGGCCAGUACUUAGAUUAUGAGUCACCGGGUAAUUUAGCCCUGCAAGGGAGAUUGUAAGUCUUUCCCCCCCGCCCUGUUCCAGAGAGGAGAUGCCAGUGGGGGACCUUCAUUAAUAUUCACUGUAAUGUACAUCUGUUUG
ensembl:lncRNA